GUGGGUGGAAGCUGUAUCUCCUUUGCUACAACCUUGCUACCUAGAGCUAUUUUUUGAUAAAAGCAAGCUUUGAAUCAAAUUUUGCCUCAGGUACAAGGAUCUAUUGUUCCGCAAGCACAAAAACAAUUAUAUAGCCAGUUCAUAUAAGCACAGUGAAGUCCUCAUUCUCUCUCCUUUCAGGUUUCUGAGCAAGAUGCUUGCAUGAAAGAUUCAAUCUAAGGCCAAUGCAAAAAUAUUGUGAAAGCAGCAGGAUCAGCUAGCCUUCCAGUUGGCUUCUUAAAUGCUGCAUUGAAAGGAUGAAACAGAACGGAUGUGAACAAGAGUUCCCUGAGAAAGGACAGCUCUUAGAGAGAUAGGAUAAUUACUGGACUCAAGAAGAUACCAAAUCAUGGUGUGCAUUUCUGCGUUGUGUUUGGAAGAGGAACUAGGAUUGUUAUGAAAAGGAAGGAUGUGUUCAACUUAGAAGAAUUAAACCUCAACCAUCUGUCUCUUCCAAAUGGCAUUCUUGAUUCUAAAAAUCUUAAGUAGAGUGUAAAGUUAUUGUUGGAUACUGUAGUAGCCAGGCUAAGCUGAGCUAUUCAGUGGAACAGAUAAACCCGAAAAUCUCAGUGGCUUAACACAACAAGAUUUAUUUCUUUUUAGUAUCACAAUCUGAUGUAGAUUGGGUUGGUCUCCUGCUUGGCUUUCCAUCAAGUGACAGCUCAGGGAUCCAAGUUGCUUUUAUUUGGAAACUGUCAUCUUGAGAGCAUUUUGUUUCCAGCUGUAUGGACAGGAGAUCCAGAAGGUGUGGAGAAGUGCAUCCUUCCUGGAUCACAAAUGAUACAUCACUUUAGCUCACAUUCCAUUGUUAAGAAUUAGUGACAUGAUCCCACUGGGAUUCAUGGGGUCUGGGAUAUGGAACACUUGGAUAUUUGGCGAGCAUGAACAAUCUUUGCCAUAGAAACAUUGCCUCUAUAAUGUUAUUCUAUAUCCCUUAUCUUCUCAUGGUAGAUUUCACAUAGGAUUAGUAUCAGGAAAACGUUUUUCUCUCCUAAAAUGUUGGUAUUCUUCUUUUUUCCCUCUGGAGUCAGGAACUUUAGAUUUAAUAUUAAUGACUAUCUAAUCUGAGAUUUUUAGUAGCAUCAUGUAUCCUAUUUCUCUAUUGUGUUUCUGGAAUAGUUUUAUUAUUGUAUUUUAACUGACUAACUGUAUUUGAUUUUUUAAAAAUUGCCAUAAUCCUUUCUAGUUUUAGCUGUUCAUUUAAUGAACACUUACCAAUAGCAGAUGUGUUGAUAAGGAUGAAGGAUGUUUUUGGCUGCAACAGAAAAACUAAUAAGUGGUUUAAGCAAUAAGAGUUUAAUUAUCUGACACAAGAAGUCUGGCAGUUUCAGGAUAGGUUAAUUCAAUGGUGUGAUAUCAUAGAGGAUCAUGUAUACUCACUUUUUCUGUUUUAUAAACUUCAGCGUUUGAUGGUGUUCCCCCUUCCUGUCACAUACAGGUUAGUAGUUCCAAGUGUUGCUUGUCAUGGUAGACCCUAGUCAGGCCUGGGUCUUGUGACGCAGGAGACAAAUAUGCUCAUAGACUUGUCGUUAUGACAUGGCUGCAGUGUGGUGCCACCAGGCCUGCAUCACGCCUACUCAUCAUAUAAUAUUAGAUUAUAUAGUCUGUGGAAAAUGUUGCAAAAUGAUACUGGUGGCAGGGUCAGAAAUUGUAUUCAGACUUUGAUGUUAGAUCCAGGCAAAUGGCUUGUUGAAAAGAGAUUUCUCUUUAGAGAGAAAUCAUGUUGGUGUACCAGGUGACAUGUUUGGUUGGGGGUGGGGUGGGGGGACUGCUUGGAUAGCAUGGUAGUGAUAGAAGUGUGAUAAGCUGGAUGCUGGAUAUAGUUAGAAGGAUUUACUGAUCAAUUGGAUGUGAGGAGUGAUAUAGAGAGAGAUGUUGGGAAUGACUCCAAGUUUUGGCCUGAGUGAUGGGAAAAAUUGAGUUGCUAUUUAUCAAGAUAGGGAAGACCAAUGAGUUUGGUGCUGUCAUAAAAUAAAAUGUAUCAGAUUUUUAGCAACAACUGGAAGUAAGACAUUGCAAGGAGUCUGGGCUGGGCUGAGAUAGAGUUCAGAUGGGGAGCUGGAAUCAGACUGCUGCCCCAGGUCCUGGGACCCUGCCAUGCAGAAAAGACACCUGGCAUGGGCAAGGACUCCAGUAUGCCGGAGCCUCUUCCUCCUUUCUCAGGCCAAAUUUGUGUCCUUGCAAAAUUUGGCUACAAAUGUUAAAUUUACAAAGACCUCUGAUACCCAUUAUCCCACCCAACUCUCUGGAGAGCCUUUGUAAUGUGGUAACUGCUCUUAUGCACAUAGCCAAAGACUUGAAAACAGUCUCAGAAAAGCUGUAAUUUCUACCUUCAUUCAUUUAAAGAAAACUUACUAAACACUUAUUUAUUUAUUUUUAUUUUAUUUAUUUAUUUAUUUUUGAGGCACAGUCUCAGUUUGUUGCCCAGGCUGGGGUGAAGUGGCACGAUCUCGGCUCACUGCAACCUCUGCCUCUCGGGUUCAAGCGAUUCUCCUGCCUCAGCCUCCCAAGUAGCUGGGACUACAGUCAUGCACCACCACCCCCGACAAAUUUUUGUACUUUUGGUGGAGACAGGGUUUCACCAUGUUGGCCAGGCUGGUCUCGAACUCCUGACCUCAAGGGACCUGACUGCCUCUGCCUCCCAAAGUGCUGGGAUUACAGGCAUGAGCCACUGUGCCUGGUCCCAAACAUCUAUUAGGUACUUGCUGUAUGUGGUGAAAUAAACCCCAGCUCUCCUGAUUCAAGGUUAGUGUUCUUUUCACAAAUCUACUUCAAUACAUCAAAUCCUACUUCUCUUUCUUUCUAUAUUUAACUCAUAAAUAUUCCUCUUCUGUCAUUUGUGGUUUUGAAAUGUCUGCAAACUCAUGGAUACUAUUCACUUCUAAUGAAUAGAAUAAAGCAGAAGUGAUGGAAUAUAACUUCAGAGGCCAUUUCAUGAAAGCCACUGUGGCUUCCUACUUGUUCUCUUGCUCUCUCUCUUAGAACACUUGCUCUGGGGAAAGCCAGCUGCCAUAUUGUGAGCAGACCUAUGAAAAGGCCCACUUGGUGAAGAACUGAGGCCUCUGGCUGAUGGACACAUGGGUGACCUUGCAAUCAAGUCUUCUGGCUUCAACCAAGCCUUCAGCUGAGACUGCAGCCUCAUGAAAGAUCCUGAGCUAGAAGCAUCCUGCCAUCCUAAUAAGCCACUCUUGAAUUUCUGACCCUUAAAAAUUGUGAGAUAAGCACCUGUGCUUUUUUUAAGUGUUAGAUUUAAAAAACCCUGAAAAAAUAAAGAAGAAAAAAGACAACUCAUAAUCUCACCACAUUAAAAAGAAUAGCUAUAGAAAAAUUCCAGUAGUAUAAAAAGGAAAAAUGGAAAUAACUUCCCACCAUCCCUGAUCUUUAGUUCUUUUUCCCACAGUGACAUUUUCUUUCCCAAGAAAUGUUCAUGCAUAUGCAAUAUAUGUGUAAACCCUUUAAGAUGUUCACAAAAGGAUCAUGUUACACUCAUUCGAAAAACUUAAUAUUAUAUCUUGAAGGUGUCUUCAUAUCAGUAUAUAUAUAUCUAUCUUAGUUUGUUAAUAGAUUUCCCAUAAUUUAAAUGUACCAUAUUUCUUUUACCAGUCCCCAUAUAUGGACAUUUAGGAUAUUUCCAGUAUUCUUUUCUGUUAUAAAAAUAUGGUGAUAAACAUUUUCAUGCUUUUUUGAGUAUCUUCAAGUAAAGUCCUAUGGGUAGCAUUCUGGCAUCACGUUGUAUAUGCAUUUAAAGUUGAUGCUAUUCACUUGUUCCACAAUCUUUGCUCCGAGUUUACACUGAUGAAGCAUGAGAAUGCUAUAUCCCCACAAACCUGUGCAUAUUGUUGAUAGUAAGCAUUGUUUGCUAUUUUCUGACUAUUCAUUUUUCUUCUUUUGAGAAUUGCCAUGCCUAGAAGAGUGCCUGUCUUGUAAUAUAUAAGAUAAUAACUUGAUAGCUAGCAUUUCUGAGGCUUCUUGUGCCUUUAACGUAUAUUUACUGUUUUGAUACUUACAAAGACCCUAUGAAGUACGUACUAUUAUUAUCUGCUUAUGGCUGGUGGGAAAACUGAGCUGUACAGAAUUUAAACAAACUGUCCCAGGUCACACAACUAGGAAGGGUGGAGCCAGGAUGCAAAUGAUACGGAAUUUUAAAAAAUGGGUAGUUGAGUGAAUGAAUAAAUGGAUGACCUGUUUACAUCCUUUCUCAUUUUUAA
rnacentral:lncRNA from 1 species